GACGAACGCUGGCGGCGUGCCUAGUACAUGCAAGUCGAACGAACCGCGACUAGGUGCUUGCACUUGGUCAAGGUGAGUGGCGAACGGGUGAGUAACACGUGGGUAACCUACCUCAUAGUGGGGGAUAACAGUCGGAAACGACUGCUAAUACCGCAUAGGACAUAGGAUCACAUGAUUCUGUGAGGAAAGGUGGCGCAAGCUAUCGCUAAGAGAUGGACCCGCGGUGCAUUAGCUAGUUGGUAGGGUAAAGGCCUACCAAGGCGAUGAUGCAUAGCCGACCUGAGAGGGUGAUCGGCCACAUUGGGACUGAGACACGGCCCAAACUCCUACGGGAGGCAGCAGUAGGGAAUCUUCCGCAAAGGACGCAAGUCUGACGGAGCAACGCCGCGUGAGUGAAGAAGGUCUUCGGAUCGUAAAGCUCUGUUGUUAGAGAAGAACAGCGCAUAGAGUAACUGUUAUGCGUGUGACGGUAUCUAACCAGAAAGCCACGGCUAACUACGUG
rnacentral:rRNA from 1 species